GACUGAUCUUCAAAAUUACCAGCAGCUGCUUUAAGAAAACCGAAGGAUAUUUAUCGUUCCUGGUAAGGAAGCAGCAGGUUAAUGGGAACAAUAAUUCUUGGUAAAAUUGCAGAAGUAGUGAUUUACGAUGAUAUGCUGUUUUAAGAUAAAAAGGGCUGGAAAGUAGUGUGACACAGAACAAAAGAUAGUGAAAUUUUAUAAGAAAUUAAAUGAGUGGAUAGAAGAAAUGAAGGUUAGGUAAGAUGGUUGCGCUAUGUCUAAAGAAGAAGCAUAGCAGUGGGCUACAAUGCAAAAAGCAGCAAUCCAGAUAAUCCAAGUGGUUGCUUGAAAUGUGAAUGAAAUCAUAAAUCGAGG
rnacentral:lncRNA from 1 species